rnacentral:rRNA from 1 species
UACGGGGGGGGCAAGCGUUGUUCGGAAUUACUGGGCGUAAAGGGCUCGUAGGCGGCCAACUAAGUCAGACGGGAAAUCCCUCGGCUUAACCGGGGAACUGCAUCUGAUACUGGAUGGCUUGAGUUCGGGAGAGGGAUGCGGAAUUCCAGGUGUAGCGGUGAAAUGCGUAGAUAUCAAGUGGAACACCAGUGGCGAAGGCGAGUCUCUGGACAUUUCCUGACGCUGAGGCACGAAAGCCAGGGGAGCAAACGGG